GAUGAACGCUGGCGGCGUGCUUAACACAUGCAAGUCGAGCGAGUGAGUUCUUCGGAACGAUCUAGCGGCGGACGGGUGAGUAACACGUGGGCAACCUGCCUCAUAGAGGGGAAUAGCCUCCCGAAAGGGAGAUUAAUACCGCAUAAAAUUAUCGAGUGGCAUCACAUGAUAAUCAAAGGAGCAAUCCGCUAUGAGAUGGGCCCGCGGCGCAUUAGCUAGUUGGUGAGGUAACGGCUCACCAAGGCGACGAUGCAUAGCCGACCUGAGAGGGUGAUCGGCCACAUUGGGACUGAGACACGGCCCAGACUCCUACGGGAGGCAGCAGUGGGGAAUAUUGCACAAUGGGGGAAACCCUGAUGCAGCAACGCCGCGUGAGUGAUGAAGGUCUUCGGAUUGUAAAGCUCUGUCUUUGGGGACGAUAAUGACGGUACCCAAGGAGGAAGCCACGGCUAACUACGUGCCAGCCGCCGCGGUAA
rnacentral:rRNA from 1 species